rnacentral:rRNA from 1 species
AUUGAACGCUGGCGGCAUGCCUUACACAUGCAAGUCGAACGGCAGCAUGAUCUAGCUUGCUAGAUUGAUGGCGAGUGGCGAACGGGUGAGUAAUACAUCGCAACGUGCCCUGUAGUGGGGGAUAACUAGUCGAAAGAUUAGCUAAUACCGCAUACGACCUGAGGGUGAAAGUGGGGGACCGCAAGGCCUCAUGCUAUAGGAGCGGCCGAUGUCUGAUUAGCUAGUUGGUGGGGUAAAGGCCCACCAAGGCGACGAUCAGUAGCUGGUCUGAGAGGACGAUCAGCCACACUGGGACUGAGACACGGCCCAGACUCCUACGGGAGGCAGCAGUGGGGAAUUUUGGACAAUGGGGGCAACCCUGAUCCAGCAAUGCCGCGUGUGUGAAGAAGGCCUUCGGGUUGUAAAGCACUUUUGUCCGGAAAGAAAUCGCACUUACUAAUAUUAGGUGUGGAUGACGGUACCGGAAGAAUAAGGACCGGCUAACUACGUG